rnacentral:rRNA from 1 species
GUUAUAGGGACAAGUGAAUAAGUGCACAUGGCGGAUGCCUUGGCGAUUACAGGCGAUGAAGGACGUAGAAGUCUGCGAUAAGCUUCGGGGAGCUGACAAACAAGCUUUGAUCCGAAGAUUUCCGAAUGGGGAAACCCGGCCUUAUAGGUCAUCACUCACUGAAUACAUAGGUGUGUGAAGCGAACGCGGCGAACUGAAACAUCUAAGUAGCUGCAGGAAAAGAAAUCAACCGAGAUUCCCAAAGUAGUGGCGAGCGAAAUGGGAAGAGCCUGUACGUGAUAGUCG